AACGCAUUCGAUUAUUAAUAAUGCGGACUGGCAGAGCCAAGAGCUGCGUUGCAAGCAGCUGACUGCAGAUAACACUUGCUUCGAACUCUGAACAGAGUUGAGUUAACAUGCAACGUGCAACGCUCUGCCGCAACGCCAACCCCCUUUUCCACCACUCCGCAGCACCAUCAGCGUUUGCAUCUGCGCUGCUCCCAUUGACUGUCGGACUGAUUGUAAUCAAGAUUGGCUUUUUGCAUGCGCCCGGCUGCCAAACCGAUUUGUGGCCUGGAAACCGUUUCGCUGCGUUUCGUUUAUGUGUGCGACAUUUCAAGGUCCGCCUGCCCCCUCCACCCAACCCAUUUGAGCCGCCUUUUGGGUGCCUUCGGCCAUGGACAACGCCUCAACUCACCUUAACUCUCACAGCUGCCGACUUGCAAUUUGCAGUCUGCGAGGUUUUUUAAUUUCCAUUCGCUUAAUCAUUAAUGUGUCAUAAGUUCCAGUUGGCCAAGAAUCAGAUGGGGAAACUAUAUCAUGGUUAGUUGCUUUGAAUAAGCUCACAUUCCAACCAUGUACUCGACCAUGCUUUGACAGUACUAGAUCUUUGCCCAUCAUAGCAUUUUAUAAAGGUGUUUAUUUUUUAACAUUCUA